rnacentral:rRNA from 1 species
CCUACGGGUGGCAGCAGUAGGGAAUCUUUCACAAUGGGCGAGAGCCUGAUGGAGCCACGCAGCGUGCAGGAUGAAGGCCUUCGGGUUGUAAACUGCUUUUAUAAGCGAGAAAUAUGAUGGUAACUUAUGAAUAAGGAUCGGCUAACUACGUGCCAGCAGCCGCGGUCAUACGUAGGAUCCGAGCAUUAUCCGGAGUGACUGGGGGUAAAGAGUUGCGUAGGUGGCAUAAUAAGUAGCUAGUGAAAUCUGGUGGCUUAAACAUUCAGACUAUUAGCUAAACUUUUAAGCUCGAGAACGUUAGGGGUAACGGGAAUUUCUAGUGUAGGAGUGAAAUGCGUAGAUAUUAGAAGGAACACCAAUAGCGUAGGCAGGUUACUGGGACGGUUCUGACACUAAGGCACGAAAGCGUAGGGAGCAAACGGGAUUAGAUACCCCGGUAGUC